rnacentral:lncRNA from 1 species
UUUUUUUCCAAAAAUUAUAUUUUCUGGGAGCUGCGAGGGAUUUAUGAAUAUUUUUAAAAAUAGUAAGAAAAAUAAACAAACACGCCAGCAAUUCCAUUGGAAGAAGGGCUAAACACUUCCACAAUCUCCUUCCUUUAUCAAUUAUCAAUCCACAUGAAAGAUUAUUAUUGUAAGCAUGCAUGAUUUACACUUCUUCAUGAUCCAGGAUGUGUCAGAAGAACUCGGCUGGAUAUUGAUUACGAACCAAACUCCACGAAUCCUCUCAGUGGUUUGCCUCACUACAGCCAACCACCUCCGCUUCUGACAUAUUCUGUAUCACAACGAAGUGGAAAUAAUUGUUAUUGCCUCAAUUAAACCAUUCAAAGCAUUGCAGCUACGAACUGAUUGUGGUACCACAGGAUACGAGACGCUACUUCGAAAAGGAUUUCCUCUACCAAGUUUAAGGACAUUGAGAAGACGGUUGUAAGUUUUCGACUUCGAUCUUGGUACUUUAGAAGACGUAAUUACUUUAUAGAAAGAGAAAGUUCGAUGUUUCCUUCCUUAUCAACACCAUUGUUCUUCAGUAUUCGAUGAAAUGACCACAAAGUCUGGCUUUGUGUUCGAUGGACAAUCACUAAAAGGAUAUUCCUCCAUGAAUGAAAAUGAUGUCCUCACAACUCAUGCUUUGUGUUUCAUGUUGAAAAUUAUUUAAACUAGUUGGAAACAAGUUGUAGCAUUCUAUUUUAAUAGAAACUCAUUCGACCCGAAGAAAGUUACUUUUAUAAUUGAAGCAGAAAUUAUCACUUCAGCUUCAAUAAUUGGUCUGAAAGUUGGGUCGAUAACCAGUGAUAUGGGUCCAUAUAGAUAAAGAGGGAGCUCGGAAUAGUGCUAAAGAAAGACAAUAUCCUUAACCCUUUUCCUAGUCCUCUCUCAUCCCACGAACUAAUGUGUGUCAUCGCGGAUAUCCCACAUUUGAUCAAGACCCUAAGAAAUCACUAAAUUAGAUGGCAUGCGAUAACAAUUAAAGCACAUUUCAUAUUCGUUUCUACUGGAUCAUUUGAUACUAAAUAUCUUAGAAAGACAUGGUUUUGUGAACAAGUCGGGCUUUAUUUUGACCUCACCACUUCCAGAAGACGCUCUGUUGCUCUCAGUUUAAUGUGAAAAUAUAAAGUGACCAUGAAUUUUCUUUAUUCCCCCUGAAAUAUUUUUGAGAACAUACAAAUUAUUGGCUAUAAUGGAUGGAACCCAAUCCAAAAAGGCAUGAUUUUAAGUACGUCAUAAAUUUGAUUGCUUGUUAUGUAGCUGCUUUACUCAAGAAUGCGUUGAGAAUUUGUUCCCCUGUAUAAGAGAAAAACAUCCUACACCAAAUGUAAAGGACUUUAAAAACUGUCUGAAACUAGUGACUUUGUCACAGUACAUCUCUGGGAAAGAUACUGAGUGCUAUCAACUUGAUGAUUCCGUGUUCCUCACUGAUCUGGAGGAUAUCUCUCAACAACUUCCUAAAAAAGUGGAAGUGAACUAUAACCAAUUUUUUUUAUUUGUUUGCCUGAACUCGAAUACCUCAAAAAUUAUUUUUAACUCAAUUGGAAGGUUAUUGCAUUCGCAGAACUAUCAAGUCUUCAUGUUUCCAAUGUUUAAAGUAUUAUACUAAGAACUAUAAUAAUUGUUCUUCUUUAAAUUUACUUUCUAAAGAAAAGUAUUUUUGGGAAAACUCUUUAAUUUAUUGUAGUGAUUAUUCAAAGCUAGCAAUAUAUUUUAAAGCUACAAUCCAAGAAUAUGUACGAUGAACAAUCCUAUUCAUGAGAUAUCUUCGUCAAUCCUAACAAAUCUUUCAAAUGAAUGUAUUACUUCUUGUCACCCUCAAGCAUUGGGUAAAAUUGUAAAAAAAUAUUAAUUGCAAGCUAGACUUUUAUUGUAGAGAUAAAAAUAUAUAAUUUGAAGCGGCCUCAAAUGUCUUAGUUGCAGUUAAUGCGAGCAAAAGCUUACAAAUAGGGCAGAUUGAUUCUUAAUUUGUAAAUCCUCAGUUUAUUUGUAUAUUAUUUUCUAUAAAUAUAUUUAAUUUUGUAAAUAA